rnacentral:rRNA from 1 species
GACGAACGCUGGCGGCGUGCUUAACACAUGCAAGUCGAACGGAAAGGCCCUGCUUUUGUGGGGUGCUCGAGUGGCGAACGGGUGAGUAACACGUGAGUAACCUGCCCUUGACUUUGGGAUAACUUCAGGAAACUGGGGCUAAUACCGGAUAGGAGCUCCUGCUGCAUGGUGGGGGUUGGAAAGUUUCGGCGGUUGGGGGUGGACUCGCGGCUUAUCAGCUUGUUGGUGGGGUAGUGGCUUACCAAGGCUUUGACGGGUAGCCGGCCUGAGAGGGUGACCGGGCACAUGGGGACUGAGAGACGGCCCAGACUGCUACGGGAGGCAGCAGUGGAGAAUAUUGCAGAGUGGGCGGAAGCCUGAUGCAGCAGCGCCGCGUGCGGGAUGACGGCCUUCGGGGUGUAAACCGCUUUCGCCUGUGACGAAGCGUGAGUGACGGUAAUGGGUAAAGAAGCACCGGCUAACUACGUG